UACGUAGGCAGCGAGCGUUUGUUCGGAAUUACUGGGCGUAAAGAGUGUGUAGGCGGUGCUCUAAGUUCGGGUGUGAAUCUCCCGCUUAACUGGGAGGGUGCGCCGGAAACUGGAGUGCUCGAGCGUGGGAGAGGAAAGCGGAAUCCUGGUGUAGCGGUGAAAUGCGUAGAUAUCAGGAGGAACACCUGCGGUGUAGACGGCUUUCUGGACCAUUGCUGACGCUGAGACACGAAAGCGUGGGUAGCAAACAGG
rnacentral:rRNA from 1 species